UUGUUUUUGGUUUCAUUUUUUUGGUUCUAAAGCUCCAAAAUCUUCGGUGUGCUUCGGCUAGUGCUGCUGCCUUGUGUGUGUAUUGUUUCUUUUAGGCGUCCAAAUUUUGGUUCUGGUUCUGCUUGGCAACUCGAUAAGCUGCAGUAAUGCUGCUCUCGCUUUGGGAGAGCUGUGGGAUUGCUGCGUAAGCUCCAACUGGUUGGACAAUGCUGCUCGAUUAACAAUGAGACCAUUGUUGUCUUUGGAGCGAUGGUGGUUGUUCUCUCUUCCAUAUUAAAACCCGCAGUAGGGCUUUGAUUUCCUCGGGACGUGCACUAAUUGCAAAGCUGGCAAUAAGGGUACAAAAUUUCAACCUUUUUUUUUUUGUUUUUUUUUUUUUUGUGUGUGUUCCGUCUGGGUUCUGCGGUGCAGUGUGCAGGCUUUAUGUAUCCCUCCUUGCGACUGUGUGAGUGUUCUUGGCUGUGGUGCGGCAACAAUGCCUCUUGGUGGUCAUCUAUGAUUGAAGCCCAAAUAUCCAAGCAGUGGAGGUGUGCUGCGGAGGAGUUCGACCAUCUAUUAGGUUUGCGUCUAGUUUUAUUGCCAUUUUAAUUUUUUUUCCUUCGGAGAUCUAGGACCAAAGAGUUGCGGCGGCUGGAAAAAGACAAGUAUUGGUGCCGUGGAGGUCUAGAGAUGUUAUGCAGUGGUUCUAAAUUGUCUUCGUUCUUAGUUAUCGUGUUUAGUCAUUUCCUUCCCUCAUCUUGCUCGAUUAUUGCCGACGUGAUCUUUUGGUGGUUGGUGAAGGACAUGUUGAGUGCCGCGUGUGUUUGUCAACACCACAACCAUCAACUCCCUCUUAGUUUAUUAUUUCCUCUCUCGCGUUAUGGUUACUAUUGUGUGUUUUUUUAUUAGGUGUUUUGCUGCAGUGGGCUACUAGAUUGGAUGUUCUUCUUUUUAUUUGUUGUUUUGUCAAGUUGCGGUAUAGUCGGAUUAUCUGCAUUGACGUCCAAAUAUGGAUGGCCUCUGAAUAUCUUGAAGCUUCAAAAAGCCAACGCUGAUCUAACUAAGUGAAUCCCUGUCACUUCUUCCUUUUUUUUUCUUGGAGAGCUCUAAACAAGCUCACGGUCGAUCCAGAUAUAUGUUGUUCCUUGGCUUCUCUGUAUUUUUCUAAUUGAGAUCUUAGGCAGAGUUCAAAUUCCAAGAAGACUAGGAACAUUAAGACAAAUGUGAAUUCUUUGACAUCUUGAACCUUAAGGAACCAAGGAAGACUGCGCUGUUCAACCGUGGUGCUAAAAUCAGAUUAAGAAGGACAAAUGAUCUUGAGAUCAUCUUCUACAAGGUUCCAAUUGAUUCCUACAAUGCCAAGUCAUCUGAUGGCCUCUUCUCCAAAUUCUGAGUUUGUUACCAGUUGCUUGCUCUCUCUUCCUUUCAACAUUAUGGUUACUGUUCAUCUUCAUAGAUGAUCGUUGGCGACCUGCGGUUGUGUAAGUUGGUCGCAUUCCAAGCCAAGACGUGAAGAUCAGUGUUAUUGACCUUGUGUUGGAAUUAAUGUCAUGGUGCUGAGGCUACCCAAACACCAUAGCAAGGAAACUUCAAACCUCUUAUAAGGCUAGGUGGAUUAGAUUGUUGAGGUUCCAGUAGUAGAGCAUCAAUAGUUAGGAUGAAUUAUCAUAAAGGGAUUCUUUGAAGAGCAGCUGGAAGUGCUUCAAUCCACAAGAUCAAUGCACUAAAGAAAUUGUUGCUAGAGAUUGUUCUUGCUAUGUUCUGACUGGGAAGCAAAAAAAACUCACUCCGGUUCUCUUCAACUGUCAACACUAUUAUUUCAUGUGAGCCUUCC